AACGAACGCUGGCGGCAGGCCUAACACAUGCAAGUCGAACGAGAAGCCACCCUCGGGUGGUGGAAAGUGGCAGACGGGUGAGUAACGCGCGGGAACGUGCCUUUCGGUUCGGGAUAACCCAGGGAAACUUGGCUAAUACCGGAUACGCCCUCCGGGGGAAAGAUUCAUUGCCGAAAGAUCGGCCCGCGUCGGAUUAGCUAGUUGGUAGGGUAAUGGCCUACCAAGGCGACGAUCCGUAGCUGGUCUGAGAGGAUGACCAGCCACACUGGGACUGAGACACGGCCCAGACUCCUACGGGAGGCAGCAGUGGGGAAUAUUGGACAAUGGGCGAAAGCCUGAUCCAGCCGUGCCGCGUGGGUGAAGAAGGCCUUAGGGUUGUAAACCCCUUUCAGCGGGGAAGAUAAUGUCGGUACCCGCAGAAGAAGUCCCGGCUAACUCCGUGCCAGCCGCCGCAGUAACAC
rnacentral:rRNA from 1 species